rnacentral:rRNA from 1 species
CCUACGGGAGGCAGCAGUGGGGAAUAUUGCACAAUGGGGGGAACCCUGAUGCAGCGACGCCGCGUGAGUGAAGAAGUAUUUCGGUAUGUAAAGCUCUAUCAGCAGGGAAGAAAAUGACGGUACCUGACUAAGAAGCCCCGGCUAACUACGUGCCAGCAGCCGCGGUAAUACGUAGGGGGCAAGCGUUAUCCGGAUUUACUGGGUGUAAAGGGAGCGCAGACGGCUGUGCAAGGCUGGAGUGAAAGGCGGGGGCCCAAACCCCGGACUGCUCUGGAAACUGUAAAGCUGGAGUGCAGGAGAGGUAAGCGGAAUGCCUAGUGUAGCGGUGAAAGGCGUAGAUAUUAGGAGGAACACCGGUGGCGAAGGCGGCCUGCUGGACUGCAACUGACGUUGAGGCCCGAAAGCGUGGGGAGCAAACAGGAUUAGAUACCCCAGUAGUC